rnacentral:lncRNA from 1 species
UUUUAAAACAUUUCAAUACAAUCAAAGUCUUUAUAAAAUGAAGCAGAAGUAUAAUACACUUGUCUCAAAAACCAUCUAAUACAAUAGAAUCCUUGGGACACAGCCCAUACAACAAUGUUCAAAACAUAAAAUGGAAAGAACAUAAUAAAAUUAGUGAACACAUCCUCGAAUACUAUGAGUACUCACCAAUCUUCAAUCUUGCCUCUACUAUAGAUCCUAGUCACAGGGAUGAGAGUCGGAACCGUUGGA